rnacentral:tRNA from 1 species
GGCGUUGUGGCUCAGUGGUAGUGCUCUCACCUAGCAAGCGGGGCCCUGGGUUCAGUCCUCAGCACCA